rnacentral:rRNA from 1 species
GUUGUAUGGUUAAGUGACUAAGCGUACACGGUGGAUGCCUUGGCAGUCAGAGGCGAUGAAAGACGUAGUAACUUGCGAUAAGCCCAGAUUAGGUAGUAACAACCAUUUGAGUCUGGGAUUUCUGAAUGGGGAAACCCACUUACAUAAGUAAGUAUCAUUAACUGAAUACAUAGGUUAAUGAGGCGAACCGGGGGAACUGAAACAUCUAAGUACCCCGAGGAAAAGAAAUCAACCGAGAUUCCGAAAGUAGCGGCGAGCGAAAUUGGACUAGCCCUUAAGCUUUACACGCGUUAGACGAACGGUCUGGAAAGUCCGACGAUACAGGGUGAUAGUCCCGUAGUUGACGACGUGUGUUCAGUGAAAUCGAGUAGGGCGGGACACGUGAUAUCCUGUCUGAAUAUGGGGGGACCAUCCUCCAAGGCUAAAUACUACUGACUGACCGAUAGUGAACCAGUACCGUGAGGGAAAGGCGAAAAGAACCCCUGUGAGGGGAGUGAAAUAGAACCUGAAACCGUGUACGUACAAGCAGUAGGAGCAGGCUUGUCCUGUGACUGCGUACCUUUUGUAUAAUGGGUCAGCGACUUAUAUUCAGUGGCAAGGUUAACCAUCUAGGGGAGCCGUAGGGAAACCGAGUCUUAACUGGGCGUUCAGUCUCUGGAUAUAGACCCGAAACCAGGUGAUCUAGCCAUGGGCAGGUUGAAGGUUGAGUAACAUCAACUGGAGGACCGAACCGACUAAUGUUGAAAAAUUAGCGGAUGACUUGUGGCUAGGGGUGAAAGGCCAAUCAAACCUGGAGAUAGCUGGUUCUCCCCGAAAGCUAUUUAGGUAGCGCCUCGGACGAAUACUACUGGGGGUAGAGCACUGUUAAGGCUAGGGGGUCAUCCCGACUUACCAACCCUUUGCAAACUCCGAAUACCAGUAAGUACUAUCCGGGAGACACACGGCGGGUGCUAACGUCCGUCGUGGAGAGGGAAACAACCCAGACCGCCAGCUAAGGUCCCAAAUUACUACUAAGUGGGAAACGAUGUGGGAAGGCUCAGACAGCCAGGAUGUUGGCUUAGAAGCAGCCAUCAUUUAAAGAAAGCGUAAUAGCUCACUGGUCGAGUCGGCCUGCGCGGAAGAUGUAACGGGGCUAAGUAGUAAACCGAAGCUGCGGCAAUAUACUUUUGUAUAUUGGGUAGGGGAGCGUUCUGUAAGCGGUUGAAGGUGUGUGGUAACGCAUGCUGGACGUAUCAGAAGUGCGAAUGCUGACAUGAGUAACGAUAAAGGGGGUGAAAAACCUCCUCGCCGGAAGACCAAGGGUUCCUGUCCAACGUUAAUCGGGGCAGGGUAAGUCGACCCCUAAGGCGAGGCCGAAAGGCGUAGUCGAUGGGAAACGGGUUAAUAUUCCCGUACUUCUUACAAUUGCGAUGGGGGGACGGAGAAGGCUAGGUGGGCCUGGCGACGGUUGUCCAGGUUCAAGUGCGUAGGCUUAAGAGUUAGGUAAAUCCGGCUCUUUUUAAGGCUGAGACACGACGUCGAGCUACUACGGUAGUGAAGUCAUUGAUGCCAUGCUUCCAGGAAAAGCCUCUAAGCUUCAGAUUGUAAGGAAUCGUACCCCAAACCGACACAGGUGGUCGGGUAGAGAAUACCAAGGCGCUUGAGAGAACUCGGGUGAAGGAACUAGGCAAAAUGGUACCGUAACUUCGGGAGAAGGUACGCUCU